rnacentral:rRNA from 1 species
GUGCCAGCAGCCGCGGUAAUACGUAGGGGGCAAGCGUUGUCCGGAUUUAUUGGGCGUAAAGAGCGUGUAGGCGGUUUUACAGGUCCGCUGUGAAAACUCGAGGCUCAACCUCGAGCUGUCGGUGGAAACCGUAAGGCUAGAGUCCGGAAGAGGAGAGUGGAAUUCCUGGUGUAGCGGUGAAAUGCGCAGAUAUCAGGAAGAACACCCGUGGCGAAGGCGGCUCUCUGGGACGGUACUGACGCUGAGACGCGAAAGCGUGGGGAGCGAACAGGAUUAGAAACCCGAGUAGUCC